UGGGGAGCGAGCAGGCUUGCUCUCUCUUCUUCACAUGCGAUCGGACGACCAGCAAGAAGAAGAAGAAGAAGAAGAAGAAGCAGCAGCAGAAGAAGAACGCGACGCCCCCCCCCGCUACCACCACCACCUCCUCUUCUUCUUUCUCCUCCUCCCCCUCGUCGUCGUGUGUCUCUCGGCAGUCAGUCGGCACCUGUUCUCGCUCGUCGCCUGCUUUGCCUUCAUGCAAGUGAGCGCGGACGUGCUCUCUUUGCCCCCAUUGUUAGAUUAGACGGCUAUUUUGUAUAUAGAUAUUUUUUAAAGAAAGCACCAAGAGUAUGACUUCGACGUCGUAUAGCCUGGAUUACCUCCCGCUGACUGAUAGUCGGUUAAUGGCUGCGGGGGACACGAUCAACGGCAUGAAGAUGAACGGGUCGUCGGAACACUUGGAUCAGCCGGAUCCGGACUCCAUCAAGAUGUUUGUGGGCCAGAUCCCUCGCUCCUGGUCAGAAACGGAACUCAAGGAGCUUUUUGAACCCUUCGGAGCCGUGCACCAGAUCAACAUCCUGCGCGAUCGCACUCAGAACCCCCCUCAGAGCAAAGGAUGCUGUUUUGUAACUUUUUAUACAAGAAAAGCUGCACUGGAUGCCCAGAACGCCCUGCACAACAUCAAGACCUUAAGUGGGAUGCAUCAUCCUAUUCAGAUGAAACCAGCUGACAGUGAGAAAACGAGCGCGGUAGAAGACAGAAAACUCUUCAUCGGAAUGGUUUCAAAGAAAUACGGCGAGAACGAGGUCAGGAUGAUGUUCUCGUCCUUCGGCCAGCUGGAGGAGUGCCGAAUCCUGCGCGGACCCGACGGGCAGAGCAGAGGCUGUGCGUUUGUCACAUUUGCUACCAGGGCAAUGGCACAGAAUGCAAUCAAAACCAUGCAUCACUCUCAGACUAUGGAGGGUUGCUCGUCACCUCUGGUGGUGAAAUUUGCCGACACGCAGCGGGAUAAAGAGCAGCGCCGUCUGCAGCAGCAACUGGUGCAGCAGAUCCAGCAGCUCAACAGCGCCUCCACCUGGGGGAACCUGGCCGGUUUGGGCAGCCUCACGCCUCAGUACCUGGCUUUGCUGCAGCAGGCCGCUUCCACAAGCAACCAGAGCACUUUCAACAGUAUCCAGAGGCUAGGGGUGAAUCCGCUUCAGCUGCAGAAUUUGGCCACAUUAGCCGCGGCGGCUGCGGCGGCGCAGAGUUCCGGCAGCCCCACCUCUUCCAGCGGCCUGUCAGCCGCCACCAGUGCGCUCGGAGCUCUGGCCAGCCCAGCCGGCUCAACGGCGGGUUCCAGCGCCAGUGCCGCCAUGAACACGCUGGCGUCUCUGGGCACCCUGCAGGGUCUCACCGGGGCUUCCGUUGGCCUCAACAACCUCAACGCUCUCACCAGUGGCGUCGCCGGGAUGGGGGCCCUGAACGGAGGCCUGGGCUCGUCCAUGGCCAACGGCUCGGCGGCCAGUUCCAUGGACGCGCUGACCCAGGCCUACUCGGGCAUGCAGCAGUACACGGCCUCGGCCCUGCCCUCCCUCUACCCCCAGCCGCUCCUGCAGCAGAGCAUCCCCGGGCACCAGAAGGAAGGGCCGGAGGGCGCCAACCUGUUCAUCUACCACCUGCCGCAGGAGUUUGGGGACCAGGACCUCCUGCAGAUGUUCAUGCCCUUUGGGAACGUGGUGUCGGCCAAAGUGUUCAUCGACAAACAGACCAAUCUGAGCAAGUGCUUUGGGUUCGUCAGCUACGACAAUCCCGUCUCGGCGCAAGCUGCCAUCCAGGCCAUGAACGGCUUCCAGAUCGGAAUGAAACGGCUGAAGGUUCAGCUGAAGCGUUCCAAGAACGACAGCAAGCCCUACUGAUCCUCGCCCCGACCCCCCACCCCCCCAUCCUCCCCAGCUCUAACGCUAGCGAUGCUAGGAACAAAUCUCCAUGCCUGUUUGCUCAUCAUUAGCCUAGCAUGUCUUCACGAUGUUGAAAGGCAAAGGCGCGCUCCCCGCUGGUCUCCUCCUCCUCCUCCUCAUCCUCACCACCACCAUUGUUUGUGAUGUCUCUCUUAAGAUCGCCUGACCAAUACCUGGCCCCGCCCACUUAGCUCAACCUGACUCGUUUCUGCAUGCGUGUUCAUCAUUUGUCUUUUGUUUUGUAUUGAAAUGUGAUGAGAUGGGAGAGAGGUCAAGCGAAAGUAAUGUGAAAACGUACCUACGUUCUUUUUUUUUUCCCUGAAUAUUUUAAAAACCUGUGGGAUUUCUUAGUUGAGCUUUUUUUUUUUUUUUUUAAAUACCUCUCGGUAGGGUUAAAUACAGGGAUUGGCACGCCAGCUGUGCUAUUGGUGCCAUUAGCAAUAUGUUGAAGAAAGUAAAGGCUUGGAAACCACUUUUUCUUUUUUAAACCUUCCCUGAUCAGUUAAAAAAAAAAAACUGUUGGCGCUCUUGAAUGAGCGCUACAUUUGGCGGGCAGUGUGAAGACUUUUUUUUUUUUUCCCCUCUCUCCAUCAAGGUGAUUGAAAAUUCGAGUUUGUUUUCAUUUCGACAUUUUUUUUAUACUACCAAUGGCACAAUAAAAGGUACAUUUGCUCAGUUUGGAGAAAUGACUACCUACACGAGUCAACUUUUUUAGAACUGAUUCACAAAUAGACAAUCUGUGGUUGAAAUGCACACUUAGAUUACCUAUAUUUUGUACCAUUGAAUCUAUAGAGGUCUAACUAACAGAACCCAGGCAAAAACAUUGGGUUUGUUUUUUUUUUUUGUUUUUUUUUUUGGGUGUGUAGAUUUAUGUUGUAAUGUCAUCUGUGUUGGGAAAGGGGGGGGCGCUGUGGUUUAAAAAAAAAAAAGUUUUGACAGUCACUUCUACUCAAUUGAAACCACACUUGAAUUUGAAAAUUCCUCUGCAUCCAUUCGAAAUUUGUUUCAGGAUGUCUUUGGUACGUAUUGUUGAUUUCUGUGAAUGAUUAUGUACAGAUAAAUCUUCUUUUUUGUUUUUUCCAUUAAUAUGGAUGCUUUCACUGUUGUUGGAUGCCUUGUGUGAUUUCCAAUGUUUGUUAAUCAUACAGAUGAUAGCCAAUGUCUUUUGCUUUUCUUUUUCAAAGUGCCCAUGUGUCAAAAGUUUGGAUGCUCCACAACAAGCUCGAGUUUUGUUUUUUUGUUGUUUUUUUUUUUUUUUACAUGCGCACAGGCAUGUGGCGGUUUGUGCGCUCAUCAAUGCGGGAGCCCCUGAAGACGAGACCACUCACUCAACCCCCCCACCCCGCCCCUUGGGAGUUGUGACCCCCAAUUCCCACCACGCCUGUGUUGGUUUACAAAUACAUUCCACUGUUUCUGCACAAAGUUUACACUUGCCCUAAGGGUGAUUUUCUGUUUUAUUGUACCACACCAAAACAACCACUUCUAUAGCCACCCCCAACCCCUACCACCCCCCCACCCCCCCAGAUUUUUGCGCUAAUGAGUUGCCAACUCAGGGUAUUUCUUUGAUGUGUGAGAAACAAAAUUUAUGACACGUGUACAGCUUUAUUGGGUUUGUUUUUGUCACCUUGUCUGCAACCCCCCCACCACCACAAAACGAACAAGACCCCCCCCCCCAAAAAAAAAGUGCACAAAAUGCGCGUUGUCUUGCAAAGGAGCACUAAGCACAAAGACGGGAGCUUUUCUGGGGGCAAAAGUAGUGUGUGUGAGUGCGUGUGUGCGUGCGCGUAUCCCAAGAGUUUCUUUUGAAUGCUUUUUACGGUGUUUUUUCUAACUCUCGAUAUAUAAUGCAAUACAAUAAUUCAAGUGCCAUACACGUCUAGAAAACUGCCUACACAUCCUUAUCGGGCCUUGGUUAGAUUGCUGCACUUGGCCUUUUAUGUGUCACUUGCUUAAACGCCAAUCCCCCCCCCCACCCCACCCCCAAGAAUAUUUUGGGUGUCGUUAGUAACUGUAUUGUGUCGUGAAGCAUUUGUCGAUAAAAUAAACACCCUCAUAUAUAGAAAUAUAUAUAGCGAGAGAGAAAGAGAGAGAUCCAUUCACACGGCUCUAACUAUGAUACAUUGGCGGGCGUGAGCUCAUGCACUGAAAACACUUUGCGACCCCACCUGGACUCGAUCGGACGUUUCCAAGAACCACUUUGUGAGUCAAGCAUUGUGUUGUCUUUUGGGGGCGCGCGGCAAAGUGUUUAGAGGAGAAAGCACAAAUGUACCCGUGUACAGCCAGUCUCACUUCAGGGGCUUCCAUCACCAAAUGGCAGCUGCCAAACAAUCACUCCCCCCCGCUUUGAAUUCCUCAGCGCUCGGUUUUGGCACGGCGCGGUGGCUUUGCAUCCUCUUUCGAUCUUGUCUUCGGAAAAUCGGACGCACGCCGGUAUGUUAUUUCCUCGGCUGAUGAAUAGAAGUGUUCCUUUGUUUGGGGUGUCGAUGAAAAGCCAAAAAGUGGGUGCGUCUCGCUGUGAUCUUGUGUUGGUGAACGAGGGUGGCAUAUGAAGGAGGGUUAGGAAGAAAAAAACAAAACAAACAAAAAUCUGAGGCAUAUGCAGGCUUUUUCCAAUUUUUACGACUGGUUGUUCAUAAUGUCUUUUGUACCAGUGACGCUUUUGAUAUUGGAAAUUAAAAGGAAAGAAAUUUAAAUUGUCUGGCCUCUUUGACCAGGUCUUUUUUUUUUUUUUUUUUGCUUGUUGCUGUCAGGCUAUUAUUAUUAUUAUUAUGAUCACCGUUUUAUGUCUUUAAAACUAAAAAGGAAAAAAAAUUGCCUGGUUUUGUCUUUACUCUCCUCAAUUAGUUAAUCCAUUUCUGGGGGGGUGUGAUCCUCUAAAUGGUGGUAAGUUUCAUGUUAGUAUUUGUGCUGUCAUCUGGAUUUUUGACGUGCGGAUAAUUGUCUUAGUUUAAGAGUUAACCGUUUAGUUUGAGCCUUGCUUUAAAAGAAAACAUUUUUUUGGGAAAAAAAACAUUUGUGUAGAUUAUUUUGUGUGUGUGUGUGCGCGUGUGCUUUUUUUCCCCCUACUCCUAACCCCCCCCGCCCCUCCCAUAGCAGAGUGUGUAGACAAAAAAAAAACUCUGUUCUUCUUUUGGUCGCUGUUUGUUCAUAUGUGGUGUGUUUCUUUGCCUCUGUCUCCAAAUUAAACCAUUUCCCCCUAAUA